rnacentral:tRNA from 1 species
GCUGACGUAGCACAGUGGUAGUGCAGCUGAUUCGUAAUCAGCAGGUCGUGAGUUCAAAUCUCAUCGUCAGCUCCA